UCUCCGUAGGUGAACCUGCGGAGGGAUCACUACAGGCUUGCAAAAGCUCUGAAACCGCUGUUUAUCUACCUGAAUCUGCCUCGGCGGGCGGCCCCCGGGCGGGGCCGUAGCCGCAAGGCGCCCGCCGAAGACCCCUAAACUCUGUCGUCUUGAGAAUCUCUGAGUAAUUAUAUUAAACAAAAACAACUUUCAACAACGGAUCUCUUGGCUCUG
rnacentral:misc_RNA from 1 species